CGUUGACGGCGUGCAGCAUCAUGGCGUGCAAAGUGCACUACAAGCAAACAUCAAACAUGCGGCGACAUAUUUGACGCACCUGUCUGUCAUCACGCUCGCUAAGGUGUCCUGUCUGCAGGCUAAUUGCUGUCAUUAAGCACAGCGACGACAUCGCUUCUUCCCCAGUGACGUCACCGUCGAACACGCCGACAGGAGGGUUUCCACAACAAGCUGCGGGUCACCAUGGCAACGGAAGUCCACUUGGAGCAGGAUCCUGUCGGCACGCCGAGCAGCGAGCCCGGGGAGUGAUAGCGGCCCGGCAUUUUGGAAGAAGAAAAAAAAAAAAGUCUUGGAGGUCUUCCAGCGCCGGCUGUCCCUCAGGAGAACUUUGGAGGCCCAGAAAGAAAGAAAGAAAGAAAUGGCAGGAAGACAAAGAGAGCUGAUAAAAGUUGCUGUCUUCCACCAGCAGAGGCGCUGUUGUUGAUGGCCGACCUCACAGAGCAGCUGGAACCAUCAUCUUAGUAUAUCACAGCAUCGCUGUCGUGGGUAAAGUGUGUGGAACAAACCAGGGACUUUUGCAUCUUUUGACCGCUGUUGCAACUUGAUACUGUCCCUGAUGGUGUUGUUACAACCUCCGACAACACACCGACCAGGCAUGAUGUCUCCAAGGUACGGAAAACAGUGGAAAAAACGGAAAAUAACAGAGCUGAUUUGACUUGUGUGUGUAAUGUGUUUGAGA